UCAAAUUUGAAAUCUGGCACCUUCGGUGUCCGAGUUGUAAUUUGAAGAAGGUAACUUUGGAGUUGGCUCUUGUCUAUGUUCCUUGGAACAGGACGUCACAGAGGGUGAGAAUCCCGUGCGAUGAGAUGUCCAACUCUAUGUAAAGUGCUUUCGAAGAGUCGAGUUGUUUGGGAAUGCAGCUCUAAGUGGGUGGUAAAUUCCAUCUAAAGCUAAAUAUUGGCGAGAGACCGAUAGCGAACAAGUACAGUGAUGGAAAGAUGAAAAGAACUUUGAAAAGAGAGUGAAAAAGUACGUGAAAUUGUUGAAAGGGAAGGGUUUGAGAUCAGACUUGGUAUUUUGUAUGUCUUGCUUUCGGGUGGGGCCUCUGCAGUUUACUGGGCCAGCAUCGGUUUGGACGGUAGGAUAAUGACAUUGGAAUGUGGCACUACUUCGGUGGUGUGUUAUAGACUUUGUUGAUACUGCCUGUCUAGACCGAGGACUG
rnacentral:rRNA from 1 species